ACUACCAUCUUUAGGUUGGAUUUAGAGGUUGUGGAAGGGGGAGGUGCUGUUGAAAUACAGUGAAAACCUGCUUAGAUGAAAUACUAAGGAAAGAGCACAGUAUAUCAAAAGUGAAUGAUCCCUAAGUACUGUAGAAACUUAGAGAAGAAAUUUGAUAUAACCUAGUAUGGCAGAGAAUUGGGCCGUUUCUAGGGACUUUUUUACUCAUAUUGCCAGAACUUUUUGCAGCUGCUUUAGGCAGAAUGCAACCUCACAGUCCCAUCUUAAGAGGAAGCAUUGAAACCAGAGUCCAUUGUGUGUUGCCUUGGAAAUGCUGAAAAAGCUCCUCGUAAACCUGUCUGCUGAUUUGGCUAUUUGUCCAGAUACUUAGUAUUAGAAUCAUUGAACCUUAAUGUUGGUGUUGAAUGUACCAUUUCUGCUACUUCUCUAGCUGGUAUGGGUCCUUGCUGUCCCAUCUGCAUAACUGCCUAGGACAGCACUCCAUGUGUUAUAAACAUUGCUUGCGUCCAAGGAUAGUGGACAGUAUAUUGGCUCCCCCUUCCCCCGCCCCUCCAUAUUGCCAUAAAAUUCCCAAACUAUUCAGUACACUUUAAUUUCCAAGAUUAUUAAUUUGUACAGAUGUUGGGGGGAGAGGUAGACAGUUACCAUCAUUAAUAUGCUGCAUUACUUUAUACCAUUGAAUAAUGUAAAACAUUUUUUUAAAUUUUUUUAUCAUUUAAAAACAUCUCUUUAAGCUGGAAGCUCUUUGACAUCUUUUGGAACAGAAACAUCAAACAGUGGUACCUUACCCCAAAGUAGUGCGGUUGGUUCUGCCUUUACACAGGAUACAAGAUCUCUAAAAACACAGUUAUCUCAAGGUCGCUCAAGCCCUCAGUUAGACCCUUUGAGAAAAAGCCCAACCAUGGAACAAGCAGUGCAGACCGCCUCGGCCCACUUACCUGCUCCAGCAGCUGUUGGGAGAAGGAGUCCUGUAUCAACCAGGCCUUUGCCAUCUACCAGCCAAAAGGCAGGAGAGAAUCCGGAGCACAGGCGAGCUGAAGUACACAAAGUUUCAAGGCCAGAAAAUGAGCAACUCAGAAAUGAUAACAAGAGACAAGUAGCUCCAGGUGCUCCUUCAGCUCCAAGGAGAGGGCGUGGGGGUCAUCGGGGUGGCAGGGGAAGAUUUGGUAUUCGGCGAGAUGGGCCAAUGAAAUUUGAGAAAGACUUUGACUUUGAAAGUGCAAAUGCACAAUUCAACAAGGAAGAGAUUGACAGAGAGUUUCAUAAUAAACUUAAAUUAAAAGAAGAUAAACUUGAGAAACAGGAGAAGCCUGUAAAUGGUGAAGAUAAAGGAGACUCAGGAGUUGAUACCCAAAACAGUGAAGGAAAUGCUGAUGAAGAAGAUCCACUUGGACCUAAUUGCUAUUAUGACAAAACUAAAUCCUUCUUCGAUAAUAUUUCUUGUGAUGACAAUAGAGAACGGAGACCAACCUGGGCUGAAGAAAGAAGAUUAAAUGCUGAAACAUUUGGAAUCCCACUUCGUCCAAACCGUGGCCGUGGGGGAUACAGAGGCAGAGGAGGUCUUGGUUUCCGUGGUGGCAGAGGGCGUGGUGGUGGCAGAGGUGGUACCUUCACUGCCCCUCGAGGAUUUCGCGGUGGAUUCAGAGGAGGUCGUGGGGGCCGGGAGUUUGCAGAUUUUGAAUAUAGGAAAGACAACAAAGUUGCUGCAUAGUCUACAAACAAGUCUCUGAAAAUAGGUGAAUUUCUAGCUCUUCAUGGUCCUGAACAUUGAUUUCAGUCUUUGCGAAGAAUGAAGAAGUGAAUUCGCUGUACAUUUGUCACCAGCACUGGGUUUUUGUUUUUUGUUUGUUUUUCCCCUUAAUUUCAAAGAUAAAAUGCAGUUACUUUUGGGGGUGGAAGGCUCAUCUUAAAACAUGAGCAUUAAAUAUAUUUGGAAUAGCAGAAGGUUAAGUAAUUUCUUAUGUAUAGUUAAACUAAAGCAGUACUUCAGUGGGACUUACAAGUAUUUUUUCAUCACUGAAAGGUUUUUUUUUUAUCACUAAAUUGUAUUUGGCAAUUGCAAGUUGCCUGCAGAUAGGGCCGUGAUACUGUGUUUUGAGCCACAGAAGGUUGUGUGUGUGUGCGUGUGCGUGUGUGUGUGUGUAUCUUUUUCCUCCUUUCUUUUGGGGAAUCCUGUAAUAUGAGGUAGCUUAUUUCGUCAAUUAAUUAGGGUGCUGGAUGGUAGAGAAUUUUGUCAGUCAACUAUGUACACACAGUAAAUACUGUUUCUUAGGCAAAGGUAACUUUUUUAUAUAGUUGUAAAAUUCCAUUAUAUUCCAUUGCCAAAGAAACAUUAAGAACUUUGUAUAGCUGUAUAAAAAGCAACUAAUUUUUUAAAGAAUAAACAUUUUAAAGUCAGCAAACAUACUGUGUCCUUGCAGAAGUUGAUGUGCUGAGCAGCAGCAUUAUGGGUGGGUCUUUUUUUCUUAGUUUUCCAGGCUUAACGUUUUUGAUUUUGUUUUUUAAUGUUUGGAACAUAAAUGAAGAUUUGAUACAUUCUUUCAUUAUCUAAAAAGGAUUAAUUAUUCAUGCUCAUUGUAAGAACUUCAUUUUGUAGCAAAUGGCAUAUCACAGGAUCUGUCCAGAUAAUCGAUAUUUUCAGUAUGCAAAUGUAAAUAAUCACAGAUGAGAAUGUACUUAGCUGUAUUUUCAAAUAAGUAAUCUUCCCCCACCUUUUUUAGGACUUUAAAACUAGGCAUCAAUGAACCUGUUUUUCCUAUUAUGCCUGGAAUUUAGUCAUGAUACCUUGACUCAUUCCAUCAUAUUUCAAGAGGAUUCAGAGUACUAGAAAUUAUUUUGGUAGCCUGCAACACAUGGCAACACUGGUCCUUGGGCCUAUGACCCACAGAUGACUCAGUAUAGAGUUCAUUGCUAAUUAUAAAUUACUAGUGAAUCUUUUUGAUAUUUUAAGCUCUAGUGGGAAAAAUCUGGCCACUUUUGUGUUUUUAUGAAGGCCAUGGAAUAAAAGGAUCCAAAGAUUUAAAUAUUUUUAUCUAAUAUUUUGAUUGUUUUGUUAACUUUCUCAAAACAUUCAGUAGUGAUAAGGAUAUAGAAACUGCACUGUAGGAGAAUUGGAAUAUUUAAGGCUGGCUGACAUUUUUUAUUUUAAUUUUAUAUCUUUUGUAUAGCUCUACAAGGCAGUGUUUUGUAAUGUGGUUUCAUUAUGAAGAUCCAGUACUUGGCAGCCAUAGUUGAGAUAAUAUUGUUCAGUGCUGUUUGCUUGCAUGUCAACAACAAAACCUUUUAGAGGACCCACAAAUCAUGAUAUUGAACACAUUUCUGAGGCAUUCAGAGCAUCAAAGCAAAUACCAUGGCAAUACAUGUGUAGACUGUUUGAGAUGUCCCAGGCCAAUUUCAAGAAAGAAAACUGUAAAUACUAGUUCUACUUGCUCUGAAAUUAUUAGUUCAUGCGUUUUCCCAGCCCUCCGAAUCACUGACUGGGGCGUUUUGUGCCCCAACAAUAACUGGCAGCAUGGCAUACCUGCAGUACACCUUACAAUAUUAAAGCAAAGUUUUUAUUCUAAAACAGAAUAAAACUGUUC
rnacentral:sRNA from 1 species